rnacentral:rRNA from 1 species
AAAUUGAAGAGUUUGAUCAUGGCUCAGAUUGAACGCUGGCGGCAGGCCUAACACAUGCAAGUCGAGCGGAAACGACACUAACAAUCCUUCGGGUGCGUUAAUGGGCGUCGAGCGGCGGACGGGUGAGUAAUGCCUAGGAAAUUGCCUUGAUGUGGGGGAUAACCAUUGGAUUGCUACCGAUUAUGGCGUAUAUGCCUACGGGCCAAAGAGGGGGACCUUCGGGCCUCUCGCGUCAAGAUAUGCCUAGGUGGGAUUAGCUAGUUGGUGAGGUAAUGGCUCACCAAGGCGACGAUCCCUAGCUGGUCUGAGAGGAUGAUCAGCCACACUGGAACUGAGACACGGUCCAGACUCCUACGGGAGGCAGCAGUGGGGAAUAUUGCACAAUGGGCGAAAGCCUGAUGCAGCCAUGCCGCGUGUAUGAAGAAGGCCUUCGGGUUGUAAAGUACUUUCAGUUGUGAGGAAGGGGGUGUAGUUAAUAGCUGCAUCUCUUGACGUUAGCAACAGAAGAAGCACCGGCUAACUCCGUGCCAGCAGCCGCGGUAAUACGUAGGGUGCGAGCGUUAAUCGGAAUUACUGGGCGUAAAGCGCAUGCAGGUGGUUCAUUAAGUCAGAUGUGAAAGCCCGGGGCUCAACCUCGGAACUGCAUUUGAAACUGGUGAACUAGAGUACUGUAGAGGGGGGUAGAAUUUCAGGUGUAGCGGUGAAAUGCGUAGAGAUCUGAAGGAAUACCAGUGGCGAAGGCGGCCCCCUGGACAGAUACUGACACUCAGAUGCGAAAGCGUGGGGAGCAAACAGGAUUAGAUACCCUG